rnacentral:rRNA from 1 species
CUUAGUACGGCGAGUGAGCGGCAAAGCUCAAAUUUGAAAUCUAGCACUUUCAGUGUUCGAGUUGUAAUUUGAAGAAGGUAUCUUUGGAGUUGGCCCCUGUCUAUGUUCCUUGGAACAGGACGUCACAGAGGGUGAGAAUCCCGUGCGAUGGGGAGACCAAUUCUAUGUAAAGUUCCUUCGAAGAGUCGAGUUGUUUGGGAAUGCAGCUCUAAGUGGGUGGUAAAUUCCAUCUAAAGCUAAAUAUUGGCGAGAGACCGAUAGCGAACAAGUACAGUGAUGGAAAGAUGAAAAGAACUUUGAAAAGAGAGUGAAAAAGUACGUGAAAUUGUUGAAAGGGAAGGACUUUUGAUCAGACUUGGUGUUUAGUACUCUCUACUCCUUGUGGGUGGGGCUCUUGCUUUAUACUGGGCCAGCAUCGGUUUGGGUGGCAGGAUAAUGGCAUUGGAAUGUGGCUUCAUUCGUGGAGUGUUAUAGCCUUUGUUGAUACUGCCUAUCUAGACCGAGGACUGCGUCUUUUGACUAGGAUGCUGGCGUAAUGAUUAAAAGUCGC